GGGCUCUGUCCCUCCAGAGCACUGGGCUCUCCCUGAGGGACCCUGGGAGCCAGGGGUCAGGCCACAUGGAACCUGGGCCC
rnacentral:snoRNA from 1 species